rnacentral:rRNA from 1 species
AUCCGUCGUGGGCGUAGGAAAUUUGAGAGGAGCUGUCCUUAGUACGAGAGGACCGGGAUGGACAUACCUCUGGUGUACCAGUUGUCGUGCCAACGGCAUAGCUGGGUAGCUAUGUGUGGACGGGAUAAGUGCUGAAAGCAUCUAAGCAUGAAGCCCCCCUCAAGAUGAGAUUUCCCAACUUCGGUUAUAAGAUCCCUCAAAGAUGAUGAGGUUAAUAGGUUCGAGGUGGAAGCAUGGUGACAUGUGGAGCUGACGAAUACUAAUCGAUCGAAGACUUAAUCAAAA